CGGAGAGAAGAGCCUCAGACUCUCAUCUGUGAAGUUCAGUGAUGGGAAUGUGAUUUGACACCCAUCUCAACAACAUAAACAAUGAAAGAUGAAAAUACACUUUUCUUACUGAUUAUUUUAAAGACUCUUGUUUUUGGUAUGUUUGGGAAAAUUAUUAUUGAAUUUUCAGCAGAUGAUUAAGACUCACCAAUUCAAGUUGUCAGCUUCCUUCAACAUCUGCAAUAAGAUGCUUCAGAUGUUCUACCAGACGGUUGUGGCGAGUGCCCUCUUCUAUGCGGUG